UACGUAGGGGGCUAGCGUUGUUCGGAUUCACUGGGCGUAAAGCGCGUGUAGGCGGCCAGGUAGGUCCGAUGUGAAAACUGGAGGCUCAACCUCCAGCUGUCAUUGGAAACCAUCUGGCUAGAGUCCGGAAGAGGAGAGUGGAAUUCCUGGUGUAGCGGUGAAAUGCGCAGAUAUCAGGAAGAACACCGAUGGCGAAGGCAGCUCUCUGGGACGGUACUGACGCUGAGACGCGAAAGCGUGGGGAGCGAACAGG
rnacentral:rRNA from 1 species